ACGUAGGGACCAAGCGUUGUCCGGAUUUACUGGGCGUAAAGAGCGCGUAGGCGGCUCAUUAAGUGCGAAGUGAAAUCUCUGAGCUCAACUCAGAAACUGCUUUACAUACUGAUGGGCUUGAGGUAGGCAGAGGUUUGUGGAAUUCCUGGUGUAGCGGUGAAAUGCAUAGAUAUCAGGAGGAACACCAAUGGCGAAGGCAGCAAACUGGGCCUAUCCUGACGCUGAGGCGCGAAAGCGUGGGUAGCAAACAGGAUUAGAUACCCUGGUAGUCCACGCCCUAAACGAUGGAUACUAGGCGUAAGAAGUAACCAUCCUUCUUGUGCCGCAGCUAACGCAUUAAGUAUCCCGCCUGGGGAGUACGUCCGCAAGGAUG
rnacentral:rRNA from 1 species